GAACUCGAAAGUAGGGGGACUGGUGUUGGGAAUAAAAUACCCCCCAACCGAAGUUCGUGACAGGAGUGACCCUCCGGGGAUCCAACCGACUUCCGACCUCCGACGACGUCUCUUCAAACCUCCCAGGCGGUCGAGCCUCCGUAACACUCCCAUGUUUUGCUGACGGAUAAGCCCCCACCAGCGUCGACUGGAUUCUUCACGAUGGACGGACUCCACCCAAAUUUCCA
rnacentral:lncRNA from 1 species